CAUGGCGGCUCCCCUUUAGUUUCUACCGUGCCCUGCCCUGGCUCGCCUCCGCGGCGCCUUCAGCGGCUUCACCCCUGUCGACGCAAAGAUGGCGGAAGCGGUUGCGGCCGUUUGAAUUCCAGCGAAGCCGCCAAAGCGGCGCACAAAGGAGCCGCGGCUGCGGCCGGCGGCGCCAUGGACUCGCUGCCGGGGGCAGACCCGACGCUGCCGGUGGCGUUUGAGGACAGCGCCUCCCAGCUGCCCGACGUCUCCCGCGGGGACCCGCAGCUCGGCCCGGCCGGCAGCCGAGGGUUACCAGACGUGGCAGAAGAUACGAUCUCACCAACUAGAGCUCGGACCAUGAAGGACUACGAAAACGUAAGCAGA